rnacentral:rRNA from 1 species
GACGAACGCUGGCGGCGUGCCUAAUACAUGCAAGUAGAACGCACAGUUUAUACCGUAGCUUGCUACACCAUAAACUGUGAGUUGCGAACGGGUGAGUAACGCGUAGGUAACCUGCCUGGUAGCGGGGGAUAACUAUUGGAAACGAUAGCUAAUAUCGCAUAAUAUUAAUUAUUGCAUGAUAAUUGAUUGAAAGAUGCAAUUGCAUCACUACCAGAUGGACCUGCGUUGUAUUAGCUAGUAGGUGAGGUAACGGCUCACCUAGGCGACGAUACAUAGCCGACCUGGGGGGGUGAUCGGCCACACUGGGACUGAGACACGGCCCAGACUCCUACGGGGGGCAGCAGUAGGGAAUCUUCGGCAAUGGACGAAAGUCUGACCGAGCAACGCCGCGUGAGUGAAGGAGGUUUUCGGAUCGUAAAGCUCUGUUGUAAGGGAAGAACGGGUGUGGGAGUGGAAAGUUCACACUGUGACGGUAUCUUACCAGAAAGGGACGGCUAACUACGUG